rnacentral:tRNA from 1 species
GUGGUUAUAGCUCAGUCGGUAGAGCGUCAGGUUGUGGUUCUGAAAGCCGCGAGUUCAAUCCUCGCUAAUCGCC